CGUGAGCUCGCCGAACGGCGCCGAGACGUCGAGGCUGUCGCCCUCGAAGGCGUUGGCGUGCAGGUGGUUCGACACCUCGCCCGCAG
rnacentral:tRNA from 1 species